UCUGGAGAACAAAAGUGGGCGUCUCUAACUUUAAGAUCUUUUUCCCUGAUUUUUGUUUACUCAAACGUUUGGAAUACUAACACAAUAUUUUAAAGAUUGUGAAGAACCUCUCUUAUCCUGAAGGAAAAACAAUAUUGUGAAGGCAAAUAUCAUGUUCAGAGGAUCUGUCUCUGUUCCACCUGGUGAUUUGUUGGUCCUCAGUCCUCUGUUGGAUAGCUUCCGUCUGUACUGUUUCAGCAUUUUGAGGGUGAGACUCAGUUUCCAGUACUUUUGAU